GACAGAGGAUGCAAGCGUUAUCCGGAAUGAUUGGGCGUAAAGCGUCUGUAGGUGGCUUUUUAAGUCUGCCGUCAAAUCCCAGGGCUUAACCCUGGACAGGCGGUGGAAACUACCAAGCUGGAGUACGGUAGGGGCAAAGGGAAUUUCCGGAUGGAGCGGUGAAAUGCGUAGAGAUCGGAAAGAACACCAACGGCGAAAGCACUCUGCUGGGCCGACACUGACACUGAGAGACGAAAGCUAGGGGAGCGAAUGGG
rnacentral:rRNA from 1 species